CAGUAGCCGCGGUAAUACAGAGGGUGCAAGCGUUAAUCGGAAUUACUGGGCGUAAAGCGCGCGUAGGUGGUUUGUUAAGUUGGAUGUGAAAGCCCCGGGCUCAACCUGGGAACUGCAUCCAAAACUGGCAAGCUAGAGUACGGUAGAGGGUGGUGGAAUUUCCUGUGUAGCGGUGAAAUGCGUAGAUAUAGGAAGGAACACCAGUGGCGAAGGCGACCACCUGGACUGAUACUGACACUGAGGUGCGAAAGCGUGGGGAGCAAACAGGAUUAGAUACCCCUGUAGUCCCUGUCUCUUAUAC
rnacentral:rRNA from 1 species